rnacentral:lncRNA from 1 species
CGAGCGUUAGGCGCGCGGCAGGUGUCGUUUCCUGCAAGCAGCGAGCUGAGGAGGACGCGCUAAAAGGUUGCCUGGCUUCCACCUGUGUCCGAUGUGAGCCUGUGGAAAACAAAACCUUCUAAAUUGAGUGGAUGCCACCCUUGGCUCUGAAAGUCACGUUGUUAGAAGAAGGAAGAAACAAAUGCAGAGAAGUUACAGGAUAUUAACAGCACUUAAAGAAGCAUAGGACAACUGUCAAG